CAAACUGACCCCAGGGAGGAGGAGGGGGGCAGGCAGAUCCUGGACACAAACCACACACACACACUCAAAGUGACCCCAGGGAGGACAAGUCCCCCCACAUGCACCACACUCACAUACACACACACGCUCUGGCAAGCUGGGGAGUGAGGGCAGGUCCUAAACACACACACACCCACACACAUAAACCUUCCCUCCUCUCCCCAAGCUGUCCCCAGCCCACUUGAACUGCUUCCAGCUAGGCAGGUGUGCAGGCCGCCGACAAGCCCCCUGAUAGACUUGGGGAGUGGAGAGAACUGGUAGACCCUGAUCCGUCCCUCCCCCUCCUCCUGCCCGGGCCUGGAAGUGACAGGUGACUGGCAGCAGCUUGAAGUGACCCAGGUGCACCGAGGAGUGAGAGAUUGUUUUUGCUUCAAAUUCAGAUUAUUCAGCAAGACCUGAGAAGUCAAGAUGGGGGCUGCAAUGAGGAGGAGAAGGAGAAAGAAAAGGAAGCAGGAGGAAACAAGGUGGCUGGCACCCAGGGAGACCAACUGGAUACUUGGAUUCUUCUAUCCCAGAUAAAUUCAGAUUGGCAGUCCCAUUGCAGAUUGCCUGCGCCAGCGAUGCAAAAAUCCUGGGAAGAUGAGGAAAACAAACAGAAGCAGAGUGACUUACUCAACG